UAAACAUUGAUAGUCCACUACCCCUACUAUCCGCCAGGGAACUACGAGCAUUAGCUUAAAACCCAAAGGACUUGGCGGUGCUUAAGAUCCACCUAGAGGAGCCUGUUCUAGAACCGAUAACCCCCGUUCAACCUCACCCUCUCUUGCUUUUCCCGCCUAUAUACCGCCGUCGUCAGCUUACCCUGUGAAGGACUAAAUAGUAAGCAGAACUGGCCUAGCCCAAAACGUCAGGUCGAGGUGUAGCGUAUGAGAGGGGAAGAAAUGGGCUACAUUUACUAAAUUAGUAAACACGGAUAACACACUGAAACGUAUGUUUGAAGGAGGAUUUAGCAGUAAGCAGAAAAUAGAGCGUUCUGCUGAAACUGGCCCUAAAGCGCGCACACACCGCCCGUCACUCUCCCCGAGCUAUUUAUUUUUAAUAACUAAUAAACUACAACUGCAAAGGGGAGGCAAGUCGUAACAUGGUAAGUGUACCGGAAGGUGCACUUGGAUAAAC
rnacentral:rRNA from 1 species